AUGAACGCUGGCGGCGUGCCUAAUACAUGCCAGUCGAGCGAACGGACGAGAAGCUUGCUUCUCUGAUGUUAGCGGCGGACGGGUGAGUAACACGUGGAUAACCUACCUAUAAGACUGGGAUAACUUCGGGAAACCGGAGCUAAUACCGGAUGAUAUUUUGAACCGCAUGGUUCAAAAGUGAAAGACGGUCUUGCUGUCACUUAUAGAUGGAUCCGCGCUGCAUUAGCUAGUUGGUAAGGUAACGGCUUACCAAGGCAACGAUGCAUAGCCGACCUGAGAGGGUGAUCGGCCACACUGGAACUGAGACACGGUCCAGACUCCUACGGGAGGCAGCAGUAGGGAAUCUUCCGCAAUGGGCGAAAGCCUGACAGAGCAACGCCGCGUGAGUGAUGAAGGUCUUCGGAUCGUAAAACUCUGUUAUUAGGGAAGAACAUAUGUGUAAGUAACUGUGCACAUCUUGACGGUACCUAAUCAGAAAGCCACGGCUAACUACGUG
rnacentral:rRNA from 1 species